UGGUUGUAGCUAGACUAGCAGCAAUCU
rnacentral:piRNA from 1 species